GGCCAGAAAGUCACGCCGAGGCCUUGAGAGUCCCUCGACGUUCCGCUGGCUCACUCGGAGACCUCGUCCGACCAUCGGUUUGUGGCCCUUAAUCGGCAGAGGGCCUCUUUCCGACACCACGGCUCGACCGCUCGACCCCUGCAGGGUUCGCGAGGUGCGCAUCGCCCAGACGCCGGCGGGGCUUGGGGAGAGCGACGAUGAUGGUGGAGAGGGACUUCCAGGGUGGAGUGGUGCUCAGGAAGAAGGAACAAGAGAAGUGAGGUGACCUGCAGUGUGGAUCCGCUCUCUCCCCGCUGUCUCGGAGAGCGGGAAGGCAACAGCAGCAGCAGCAGCUACGCGGCGAGGAAUCGGCUUCAAACGCCCCCCCCCCCCUCCUCCUCCUCCCCUCCAAAGAUCUGCGACACACGUCCUCGAGCAUCAGCCAACUCGGACCAUUGCCCGAAACGUCGCGAAUUGUUAUUUUUAUUAUCAGAGUCGGGUACGGUGCGGGUAGACGAACGCGAGUGUGUUCCCACGCCGUAGUGGAGGUUCCACGUGGCCGUAGGAAGGGGGGGCACAGUGCCCCCCAGCGCGACAGGAGCGCGAGAAAACGUUGAGGGGGUGGGCCACCGUGGACCGCAUCCCUCCUGAACGGUGGAGAACCACCGACCUCGAGAAAAUCUCAGCCGACCCGCCUCGACCACCAACCUCAUCAGGGGUCCAUCGACCCGCCUGCCCCGUGCUUGUACUCCAGUCCGUUUGAAUCGUUACUCGCACGCAGGGGCAGGGAUCGCGUUCGCUGCCGUCCCUUGUUCAGCAGCAGGCGGCGCCGCGCGCAUAUUGACGCCUGCAACGUGGCCAACAACGUUAAAGAGUCAUGUGGCGUCGUUGGCAAGAGUAUGGCCCCAUUGUGUGCCGGCGUCAGGGCUCAAUGUUGGCAAGUUCGAUAAUGCACACUGCACGGUGCUUAAUUGGGAUCGUACAGCAGCAGCAGCCAUCGCCCACGACCGGCAGACUGAUGCCCCAGGUCACUCGUACAAAUUAAAGACGCUCUUGGUCUCUCGAGUUCUCACCUGGUUACACAAUCAACUUGGAACGGUCACAAGUCGGCUAUUAAAAUAAAUGACUCAAGGCGAGCAAUGCCUUGGGUCAGUUAUUCUGCUCGUUUCCCAGGAGAGCCUCCACGGGCAUCAAGGCUUUCUUCGGAGAAUCAUUCUGAGUUUGUGCAGUCAGAGGCAACGUUUGCUGUUUUCCUAUUGAGUGAUUUGCGGAAUCAUUUUACUAAUUUGGGCAAAUUGGGACAAUGGCUGUGGCACAGCACGGCCUUCCUCUUCUUCUUCGACCGUCAGAAUCUUUGAACAUGCACCGAGACUGACGGCGCAGUUUUUUUAUGGUAAAUACAGCGCAUUAUUAACCAGGGUGGCCUGCCACUGAAACCGCAAACCUCUGCAACAAAGCGGCGAACGCGGUAGCGCCGAACUGUGCCAUUUUAUCCAAGGCCCCGGUCAUAAAACAUCACGGAGGUUAAAAUGCGAUUGUACAUUCAAGCGAAUAUAACGGAACAGUAUCACACUGGGAUUUGUGACCAAUUCCUUUUUACCGAGAAUACCUUUAAUCUCCACUGCCGAUUGUCGUGUAUUAAAGCCGUCUCCAAAUAGGACCCAUAUCUAACAAGAGGGACCUCACCUACACACACCUGGCAGUGGUUCAAGCGAACCCGACUCCGCUGUCGAGAUGCCAAUGCUAUAAUCGGUCCAGAGUUAUGCUUGUUUUAACACCGAUGCUGCUGAAAUGCUGUACCUCAGAAAGCCGUGUGUGGCCGAUGGGAUGUGUAUCAAAAAAACGCUUGCAUUUACGUGGAGAAACGGUUAUGGUAAAAGGGUGAGUGAAUUGUAUGUGAAUUCAUCGCUCAUUUUUAAACGCAGGUCUCGUGCGUGGGAUGAAAGCGUCAUGCCCGGAGAAAUCCCACCACGCCCGACACGCACAACUAGCGGGCACGACACUUGUGAUCUUUAAAAAGAUUUUUUUUUAUUAUAAAUGUCUUAUAUCUAUGGCUAAAACCUACGACUGACAUUAAUAAAUACAGAAAGCAAGCAGACUCCACGGGAAAAAAAAAACUAAAAUAAAGUUGGGGAGUGA